UUGCGGGGUAUAUAAAAGCACAGAAACGACAUUUAUAAGAAAAUCAUUUGACAUUUGAUUAUAAACAUAUACUCGAUUGAGGUAACGAUACAAAGCCAUGACGUUUGGAUCAGGUCUGACAGAACUAGGAAUCUUACAAAAAAAAACAUAUCAUACUGUAUCUCAAGUGGAACAACUGUUUUGGCGAAUUCACAAAUUGUCAUCUUAAUACCAAUCCAACAUUGAGUUGAGUAUAAUAGAUCAAAUGUGUAUAUAUAAUUUCUUUGAGUGACAUAAUUCACAUAAGAAUUUGAGUUUAUGAUAUGAAACCCAAAAGUUCAUUUCACCUUUUUCAAAAAAAAAUAGCACAUUCAAAAAUUUGAAUGGAAAACUUUGAGGCGAUUUGACAAAUUUACUUUUUUUCUAUGGGGACCCUUAAAUCCCUUUAAUUGUCGUCGGUAUUGCCUUUUUGUUUUUCCUUUAUCCCUUUUUCAGUCCAAAAUCUUUCCUUCUAUUUUAUCUUCCUCUAGUUUUUUUG
rnacentral:lncRNA from 1 species